rnacentral:lncRNA from 1 species
UCAACUUUCCGGUCCACCAUAACCAUGGAAACUGAGCCAGCUCCUCAAAUGUGAUAACUGAUCAGUUCAGAAAUUAUUCCGGACGGACCAGAAUGGGAAAAAUAACAAAAGAUGCAAACUCGACUCUGGAUUAGACGAUAAUUGAAGCUGGAGAAAUAAUAAAUUCAUCUGUAACUCUUGACAGAAUCGCCGUCCUUUAUGGUUCUUGUUUAUUAAGUAUUCGAAAGCUUUUGUCUGUGACCAUGCAAUAAUUGUAUGCAGGCUCUGAGAACACAAUAAAAGACUACAAAACAAAUAUGUACUACAAGUGAUGCUCGGUCAUCUGCCAUUGCUGUUUUUCUGCCGGUCCUUUGUACGGCAUCUUCUGAUUCAGCCCUUUAUUUUGAUUUUCCCUUGAACAGACAGCAUAAAGUAGGUGUUGCAGAGGUGUAGGGAUAGCCGCAGUGGCAAUUAACCUUUGCCGUUAAGAACAGCUCGGCUAAUGGCUGAUGGCUGAUGCUGAGCGUGACGACAAUUUUCGAUUUGAUUUGGAGAAUUGACCUUUUGCAUGGUGACCACGAGUACCACUUCCACAAGCCAUACAUGAAGAUCUCUGGUUCACGCUUCCAUUUACUUCGUGAUCAUCCAUCAUCA